CGGCACCUCAAGUGGUCAGGAUGAUUAUUGGGCCUAAAGCAUCCGUAGCCGGCUCUGUAAGUUUUCGGUUAAAUCUGUACGCUCAACGUACAGGCUGCCGGGAAUACUGCAGAGCUAGGGAGUGGGAGAGGUAGACGGUACUCGGUAGGAAGGGGUAAAAUCCUUUGAUCUAUUGAUGACCACCUGUGGCGAAGGCGGUCUACCAGAACACGUCCGACGGUGAGGGAUGAAAGCUGGGGGAGCAAACCGGAUUAGAUACCCGUGUAGUCC
rnacentral:rRNA from 1 species